rnacentral:rRNA from 1 species
GACGAACGCUGGCGGCGUGCCUAAUACAUGCAAGUAGAACGCUGAAGGAGGAGCUUGCUUCUCUGGAUGAGUUGCGAACGGGUGAGUAACGCGUAGGUAACCUGCCUGGUAGCGGGGGAUAACUAUUGGAAACGAUAGCUAAUACCGCAUAAUAGUAGAUGUUGCAUGACAUUUGCCUAAAAGGUGCAAUUGCAUCACUACCAGAUGGACCUGCGUUGUAUUAGCUAGUUGGUGGGGUAACGGCUCACCAAGGCGACGAUACAUAGCCGACCUGAGAGGGUGAUCGGCCACACUGGGACUGAGACACGGCCCAGACUCCUACGGGAGGCAGCAGUAGGGAAUCUUCGGCAAUGGACGGAAGUCUGACCGAGCAACGCCGCGUGAGUGAAGAAGGUUUUCGGAUCGUAAAGCUCUGUUGUAAGAGAAGAACGAGUGUGAGAGUGGAAAGUUCACACUGUGACGGUAUCUUACCAGAAAGGGACGGCUAGCUACGUG